UUUAUGGAGAGUUUGAUCCUGGCUCAGAGUGAACGCUGGCGGCGUGCCUAAUACAUGCAAGUCGAACGAUGAAGCUUCUAGCUUGCUAGAAGUGGAUUAGUGGCGCACGGGUGAGUAAGGUAUAGUUAAUCUGCCCUACACAAGAGGACAACAGUUGGAAACGACUGCUAAUACUCUAUACUCCUGCUUAACACAAGUU
rnacentral:rRNA from 1 species